AACCAUAGCCAUAUCACCCUGCAGCCCAAGACUGGUUACUCACUGAAGCUAAGCAGGGCUGAGCCUGGUCAGUACCUCGACGGGAGACCAUAUGGAAACACUAGGUUGCUGUUGGAA
rnacentral:rRNA from 1 species